rnacentral:rRNA from 1 species
AGAGUUUGAUCAUGGCUCAGGACGAACGCUGGCGGCGUGCUUAACACAUGCAAGUCGAACGGAAAGGCCCCUUCGGGGGUACUCGAGUGGCGAACGGGUGAGUAACACGUGGGUGAUCUGCCCUGCACUUUGGGAUAAGCCUGGGAAACUGGGUCUAAUACCGAACAGGACCGCAUGCUUCAUGGUGUGUGGUGGAAAGCUUUUGCGGUGUGGGAUGGGCCCGCGGCCUAUCAGCUUGUUGGUGGGGUAAUGGCCUACCAAGGCGACGACGGGUAGCCGGCCUGAGAGGGUGUCCGGCCACACUGGGACUGAGAUACGGCCCAGACUCCUACGGGAGGCAGCAGUGGGGAAUAUUGCACAAUGGGCGCAAGCCUGAUGCAGCGACGCCGCGUGGGGGGUGACGGCCUUCGGGUUGUAAACCUCUUUCAGUAUCGGCGAAGCUCCAGGAUUUUUCUUGGGGUGACGGUAGGUACAGAAGAAGCACCGGCCAACUACGUGCCAGCAGCCGCGGUAAUACGUAGGGUGCGAGCGUUGUCCGGAAUUACUGGGCGUAAAGAGCUCGUAGGUGGUUUGUCACGUUGUCUGUGAAAACUCACAGCUUAACUGUGGGCGUGCGGGCGAUACGGGCAGACUGGAGUACUGUAGGGGAGACUGGAAUUCCUGGUGUAGCGGUGGAAUGCGCAGAUAUCAGGAGGAACACCGGUGGCGAAGGCGGGUCUCCGGGCAGUAACUGACGCUGAGGAGCGAAAGCGUGGGGAGCGAACAGGAUUAGAUACCCUGGUAGUCCAA